AGCUGCCUGUCCUUAAGGGAUUGUGGAUAUCAAGAGAUCUAUCUAUCAAGUUCUCUAUUGGAAAUGUGAUACAAAAUGGCUAUAAUAAGUGAUGAUUUGCAGAGGAUUAUGUAUUGAUCUUUCAAGCAGAAUGGAAAGCACCCGAUGUUACCCGGCAGUCUCAUACGCUGGAAGAUGGAAUCCCAGGUGAAGUUGGAGCUGAUGGUACAAACAGGAUUUGCAGAGGAAGAUCUGGCCUUUGUGCAGCAGGUGGAGAUGAUGUUGAAUUCUACAUGUAAUUCCACUGUCCACUGAUGGUAUUUACCUGCGCUAGAUGAAUAUGUUGUUACUAUUGGCUGGAUUACACACGUGCCUUUAUACUUACUCCAGCCAGCUUGAAUUUAAAAAUGAGUAGCCGGGAACGAUGUUUCUGUCUCCUGGUGUUGCUUCCUCCUCAUUGAGGAAUGACAGUGGCCGCUUCCCAUCAUACGGCUGGAAUAGCUUAUCUGCUGGCUGCAUGGAAGGGAAAAAUUUAUCUUAGCCAACAUGAUAUGAAAUCUAUUAUAAUAAAGAGAUUAGUUAAUGUAUUUGCUUUUAGAGAUCCAUAUAAAGGGUUUUAAUUCCAUAAAAAUAGCAAUUUAUGUUUCAGUGUGCCAUGUAUUUCACAUCAAUAUACAAUAAAGAUCACAAUGGAAUUAAAGAACCUUUAAAGAUUAAAGUGUCAUAGUAUUGCCGUACUGAGACAUCUUCCUUAUGUGUAUAGGUUUUUCCAUGGGCUUCAUGGCUGUGUGAGUGUGAGACUUGUGUGUUUAAUACUUUAAUAAAUGUUCCACAAUGAAACUUGCUGCAUUCUGGCAAUAUCACUAGUCAAUUCUAUUUACCCAGAUUAUGAUCAUUUCUAAUUUAUAUUCUCCAACCAGGUACUUACAGUUAUUGGCUGGAAAGGAGGUUGUAAUCCUUCCUCUUCCAGCACCACCCAAUUAAUGGUUUGAUAAAAUGGGUGGCUUCUGAUGUCUCCUCGCAGUCCAAGGCGACGUUUUGGCUUUCUUUUAAGAAGCUAAAGGAUCAAUGUACAAUAGUUUUAAUAUCAGUAAUGGAGCAGAAAUACAAUAUUUCUAUAUCAUUCUUACUACCUACCCUUCUCAGAAGAUCUUUCAGAUCUUUAUCCAGCUCAUCAGGUAUCUUGGGCUCGUGGAAUUUGAUGGAAUUAAUCAACUUGGUUUUGCUGCUGUUGUUAAACGGUAUGUUGCCAGUGGCCAGGUCGCAGAUGGUGAUGCCGAAUGACCACCAGUCAACUGCUGCAUUAUAUGAUCCUUUGUGUAGAAUCUGGAAAAGAAAAAAAAUCAUUUACCAGGCUGCAAAAUUCUCUACCUUAGAUCAGUUACACUCACCAGAACCCAGUCAGUGCUGUAUGGGUACAACUCAACCACAGGUACAAGAAACCAUGUCAGAAAAUAUGAAAAAUGGCCCCUGGUAUUUUAAGGAGUACUGGUCCGGGGAAAAAAGAUAAUAAUUUAUUACACUUCGAGUGUAAGUAAGAAUGUACUACUCUUUUCUUCUCAUCCAAUAAUUACCAUGGCUAACAGUGGACCUCUAUGUCUUUGAAAGGCCUCCACUGGAUUUUAUAUACAGAUCUGCUGCCCUGGGCAUAUUCUAUUAUACUUCUUGCUUCACCAGAUUUCUACUGUAAAUAUACCGUAAUUGCGUAUCUCACCUCUGGCGCCAUGUAUUCCAGGGUUCCGGCCCAGCCAGUGGUGGUGUCUCCUGGGAAGAUGUUCUCCUUUGCCAGGCCGAAAUCUGAAAUUUUUGUGUGUCCUUGAUGGUCCAGUAGGAUGUUCAUGGGUUUUAUGUCUCUGUAAUAUUUAUAUAAGAUAUGAAGAAUUAGAAGAAAAGAAGAAAAAAAGAA